GGAGAUCACAAUACCUCUCCACUGCAAACACAGUAAUGGAAAGGGCCACACUGGAGUUCAACAUGACUCCUAAAGCACUCAUAAUUAUUUAAAUCUGCAGUAUUUUCUGAUAACAGAUCUGUACCCCAUCAGUCCACAGAUGUUUUUCAUAAGAACCUCUAAAGAUGCUUCCAUUUUCCAUUAAAUUCUGCUGCCUACAGGUGAGGAAAUGAGGAACAGACCCAAAAGAAGGCUGGGCUAGGUGGUGUCUUGCUGGCUUGCAAACCUGAGGCUUGUAAACCUCACCACCAGGUGUCAGCAACUAUUAAUAAUGCUAAAGCUGGAGGGGCUGGCCCUGGGUAGGGUGCUUAGCACCCAGACCAUCUCCUACUAGCACAACCAGAAAGCCUAAGGUCUUGCAAAGUCCGUGGAGAACAGUGAGUGGAAAAUGUGUCUUCAGGAAGAUACAGCCAAGAUACUGGAGUUGCCCAUGGCUUUCCAGGAAGACAAGAAGGACUUGAGCUCUCCAUCCAGAUGGAUUCCCGAGCUAUCAGGAGGAGAGGUGUGCGGGGAGCAGCCGGGAGCGCAGCGUGCCCAGCUCCACGUGCCUCCCACCAGCAGCUCUCGCCUGCCCAGGCACGCAUGGAGCACGCCGUGCUGCCUGAUAGCAUACGAAACCACCAGGUGGCUCUGGCACACCCUGACUCCUGCAUUCAAAUACAAGAGAAAGGUGCAGGACGGGGUGUCAUGACCUCAUUUCAUGGAGCAGGAUGGGACCAUCGCUCCACCAGCUGAGAAAAUGAAUGUGGACCUGCCAUGGACACGCGCUGGAUUUUUCCAGGGGGACACUGUACCUGAGCCACCAGGCAGGUUUAUGGAGGAUCAAAUUUAAGGAUCAUCACGAAGCUUGGCAUCGUGCUGUGGAUUUGGCGAUUAUGCUGCUGGGUCGUUUUUCUUCCGUGGCUUCGUCAGCUUGCCAAGUGCAGGGUUUCGAGAAAGCAGGUAGAUGCAAAGCUGUUACAACACGCCGUGGAAGUGCAGUGGGAGGGAGAUGCUUACUCACGGAACUGUGCCGUGGGCUGGUGAUUCAGAUGCCUGCAUGCCAUCAGCCCCACACCACGGGCUGUGCUGGGGAGGCACGAGCAGGAGGAGGGUGCUGCCGCUCCUGGUAGUGCUCACCCCUGGCACGAGGCAGUGGUGAAGUCAGGGCUGUAUUUGCAUUGUCACGCGAUGCAAUUAGGAAAGAGCUGCUCCGUUGGUGACUGCUGUCUGAACCGGCAAGCCUACAUCAGAAUUGAAACCAUCUCUGCCUGGGCAGAGAUGUUGACAGUGCCACUCGGUUGCCCAAUAGGUUCCUGAUUACAGAUUAAGCUGGUCUGAAGGGAAAAGGAAUACUGCUUGCCCUAAUGAAAAGGUAUGGUUUGUGGGCGAGGAGAAGAAAACUAGAUCAAUGUUCAGAGGUUCUUUGCUGGACUGUGUCAGCUGGAAAAGCUUGGCUGCUGCUGCUAAUUCUUGACGGGCAUGUGGAGAUAAAUAGUAUGUAAGCCAUUCUUCUUCCUUGUGUGAUCUUAGCUAACUGGCUUUUCCCUCAGCCUGCCUUUCUUUACCUAUAAUACCUGCUAUAGCGGUUGAAGAAGUUGGUCAAUCAUUCCAGCAAAAUAGUGUGGGAUUCUCAGCUAUUGCCUGUGUUUAGGCUGUGGUACUGGGGUUAUGUCUGCAUGACCUCUUGCAGGUUCAUGACAGCCUUGACCCUGCUAACCCAGCAGCCCUGUUACAGCUCUGUUUCAUGGUGACUUGGCCAGCCUGUGGUCUGGUACCAGCCUAACUGCCCUUACCACCAGCUAUGCUCAUCUUCCAGCAGCUCUGAGCACAAGGAUUUGGUUCACACCAGACACCAAAGCAUGUUGGGCCCUUAAAAUCCAACACCCAGCAUGAAUCAGGCCCACACACUAAAGCUGCACAGCUCUGAAAGAAGCAGUGCUUUGCUCAGCUGUGAGCACGGGCUUUGUGCUCGUGGUCGUUCCAUGAAUUGAUUAACUAUCAGAGCUUUCCAAAGCAGCUCAACAUCUCACUUGGUUUUAGAAAUCCACAUUUGAAGAACAAAGGUCUGUAUAGAGAUGAAGUGUGAUGAGGGAGAGAAUGUGAAAUGAAACUGCAUGCAAAGGGGAGAACAUUUGUCAGGGCUGCUCUGCGGAGCCAUUAACACGACCACCAAGCUCCAUUUACCUGUCUGGGACACGGGAGCAGUUGCUGGGCCUGUCUGAAUGUACUAGAGAUUAGCAGGGCAGGAAAACACCUGCUUCCACUUAACUGAUCCGAGAGGAAACAAAGGGCAAGAAAAGCUAUGGCCUGAACAACGCAGGAUUGGAUGAAAGCUAAUAUGCAGCUUCAGAUUGGCAGUUGGCAGCCAUAACCCUCAAUUUAAAGCAGCUGAGAGCCCCAGCUCUUUAGAUCUGAAAUCUUGCUGCUAUGAAGAUGAAAGACUUUGUUUUCACUCCUUUUUUUUUUCUUUCUUUUUCUUUUCAUUCAACUGUGGCCAAAUGGGGAGUAGGCAGAUGGGAGUCCAGGCAAACCCAGGUGCUGAGUUGCUGCGCUUGAUAAUAGGCAGCGAGGAGUGGCAGGCAACCCUGCCAGAAGGAAAGGCAGAAAUGUUCAGAUCCUUGUGCAGGAGCUCAGGGACUCCCUUCAGUUUCCCUGGGGGAAAGAUGAGGCUGAUUGGGACUCACUGAUGAGUACAGUAUAGACUUUAGUGUAGAUACGGGAUUGACGUUCUGGUGGUAAAGAAGGGAAUCUGGGGCUUCUCAUUGACUUUGGUGGGUUUUGCUGCUUGGCAUCUCUGCAAGCAAGGCUUUGAGGAAGGUUUUAUAAGUUGGAUUCUCAAAAAUAAUGUACUGGAUCAAAUAGCAUUGAAAAAGUGAA